UUAACUCAAAUUUGUUCGGAAUUGAAACUGAUACCUACGUUUGCCGCUAGGGGCGCUGUUCAAACUGCAUACAAAUUUGAGUUA
rnacentral:pre_miRNA from 1 species